CCCGGAAGUGCUUAGGGAGUGUGAUUGCAGAGCGAAAAAGUGUUUUUGUGUUUUUUGUUGUUGUUGUUUUUUUUUGUUUGUUUGUUUUUGUAAUUAGGCAUCAAGAAAUGCAUCACGAUGUAAUAGUGUGUAUACCUCGGUGAGAGCUGAUUCACUGAUGGAGGAGAUUUGUGGAACAAGAGAAGAGUAACACCAGCAGCAAACUGUCUACCACGGAUAGAGAACCAGACAUGCAACAUCCCCGACAAACAUCCUGAUGAGAGUUGGGUGGAUUUUACUCAAGGACAGCUGGAUCAGCUCAGCUCAGCUGAAGAUAAACCACACGUCUGUGACCAGCGUUGGAAAAGCUUCAGUCAUUUAUGCAAUUUUAAUAUUCAUCUGUAUAGCCUGAGUGAAGAAAAACACGACUCUUGUGAUGAGUGAAAAGAGUUUAACCCAGUCAACAAAUCUGAAGACACGGCAUACCCACACAAGAGAGAAACCCUGCAUCUGUCAGUGUGGGAGGCUUUCAGUGACCCAUUAAAUUUAUGACAUAAUAAGAAUUCCUGUCGACGUUGUCCCCGAAGCUACAUCAGCAUUUCCACAAGGACCACAAUCUGAAAAUUUCAGAAGCAUAU